UACGUAGGGUGCAAGCGUUGUCCGGAAUUAUUGGGCGUAAAGAGCUCGUAGGCGGUUUGUCGCGUCUGCUGUGAAAACUCGGGGCUUAACUCCGGGCCUGCAGUGGGUACGGGCAGACUAGAGUGCGGUAGGGGAGACUGGAAUUCCUGGUGUAGCGGUGAAAUGCGCAGAUAUCAGGAGGAACACCGGUGGCGAAGGCGGGUCCCUGGACAACUCCUGACACUGAGGCACGAAAGCUAGGGGAGCAAACAGG
rnacentral:rRNA from 1 species